GGUUGGUUGGCUCAGUGGUUAGAGCGUAGGUCUUGUAACCGAAAGGUUGCGGGAUCGAGUCACGCUAGAGGCUG
rnacentral:tRNA from 1 species